AUUGAACGCUGGCGGCAGGCUUAACACAUGCAAGUCGAGCGGAGAUGAGGUGCUUGCACCUUAUCUUAGCGGCGGACGGGUGAGUAAUGCUUAGGAAUCUGCCUAUUAGUGGGGGACAACAUUCCGAAAGGAAUGCUAAUACCGCAUACGCCCUACGGGGGAAAGCAGGGGAUCUUCGGACCUUGCGCUAAUAGAUGAGCCUAAGUCGGAUUAGCUAGUUGGUGGGGUAAAGGCCUACCAAGGCGACGAUCUGUAGCGGGUCUGAGAGGAUGAUCCGCCACACUGGGACGGAGACACGGCCCAGACUCCUACGGGAGGCAGCAGUGGGGAAUAUUGGACAAUGGGCGGAAGCCUGAUCCAGCCAUGCCGCGUGUGUGAAGAAGGCCUUUUGGUUGUAAAGCACUUUAAGCGAGGAGGAGGCUACCUGGAUUAAUACUCUAGGAUAGUGGACGUUACUCGCAGAAUAAGCACCGGCUAACUCUGUGCCAGCAGCCGCAGUAACAC
rnacentral:rRNA from 1 species